rnacentral:lncRNA from 1 species
AAUACCUAGUCCAUGCCAAACAUACUGCUAAGUGCUUUUCAUGGAUAACCUUGUUUAAUCCUCAAUAAAAAUCAAUUAUUCUGAUCUCCAUUUUGCAGAUGAGAAAACAGAGGCUGAGAGAAAUUCAAUAAUUUGCCGAGGGUCACACAGCAAGCCAGGAAAUGGUGGAUCCAGGAUUUGAAGAUAUACAGGCUGACUCGAGCUGCAAGAAGUUGUGCUGAAAAAUGCAAGGGAAGAAGACCCCAGAAAUGUAUCAGUGAGAAAUUAGCAAGGUUCAACCAGAUGAAAGCCCCUUCCUCUCUUGGGCCCAGGCAUAGAUUUGGGCAAGUGGGCAGCUAUUUCGGAUCUAUCACCAAAACACUUUGAGUGAGCACCUCCUCUGCCCCAGGAUUUAUACUAAACACCAUAGUUGCAGAAAGGCAUAGAACUCUUCAAGGAACUGCAGCUCUUCA